rnacentral:misc_RNA from 1 species
GAUGAAGAACGCAGCGAAAUGCGAUAAGUAAUGUGAAUUGCAGAAUUCAGUGAAUCAUCGAAUCUUUGAACGCACAUUGCGCCCGCCAGUAUUCUGGCGGGCAUGUCUGUUCGAGCGUCAUUUCAACCAUCAAGCCCCAGGCUUGUGUUGGGGACCUGCGGCUGCCGCAGGCCCUGAAAACCAGUGGCGGGCUCGCUGUCACACCGGGCGUAGUAGAUUUUAUCUCGCUCUGGGCGUGCUGCGGGUUCCGGCCGUUAAAAAACCCUUUUAACCCAAGGUUGACCUCGGAUCAGGUAGGAAUACCCGCUGAACUUAAGCAUAUCAAUAAGCGGAGGA